ACUCGUCCAAAGCAAAGAGUUGAUCUCUGCAAGCCAUUUUUAAACGUCAGUGUGUUUGGAUGCCCCGGAGCGCACUCCUGCUGGGGGUAAUUUCGGGGCCGUCUCGCAGAGCAUCCUCUCGGGCGUCGUGAGGAGACCCGCUCCGGGACGCUCCUUCGGGUGACGUCACAGACAGAAUCCUUCCUGGGAGACGCCGGGACUGCGAUGCCGAAUUUCCCAGUGGGCGGCAUAACUGCGAAUAUGACCGUCGCGGGCAGAUCGUCCUCCUCGGCACCUGCUUGUCCGUGUUUGCUGUAAGAACGUGACGAACUCCAGCGGAACCUGCUGCUGUUAGCGAGCGGACGCAGCUGUCGGUCCUCGUCCCGCUCCGUACCGAGAGCUCCAUCCACGGACGCACC
rnacentral:lncRNA from 1 species